rnacentral:rRNA from 1 species
AUGGCAGCACUGCCGUAUCUCGUCCUCCUCCUCCUGCUCCUCCGCCCAGCGGCCGCACCCGCCGCUCGACCGCCGCCGCCUUCGAAUCCUCCUCCGCCGCAGCCGCACCAGAAAGUGUUCGUCUGGCCCAAGCCGACGUCCAUCUCGUGGCCGUCCGUCGUGUACGCGCCGCUCACCCCGACCUUCAGCAUCCGCGCGGUGCCGCCCCACCCGGCCCUCCGCCACGCGAUCGCCUACUACAGCCGCCACAUCCGCGCCGAGCGCCACACGCCGCUGGUGCCCCCCGCCAACUACACGCUCGCCCGCGUCCCCGUCCGCCUCCUCACGCUCUCCGUCUCCGACGCCCAAGUCCCGCUCGGCCCCGACGUCGACGAGUCCUACACGCUCUCCGUGCCCGUGGAAUCGGCCUCCGCCGACAUCUCCGCGGCCACGCCCUGGGGCGCCAUCCGCGGCCUCGAGACCUUCUCCCAGCUCGCAUGGGCCGGCGGCGGCGAAGCUGCGGGCGGCCAGUCGAUUGUCCCCAGCGGCAUCGAGAUCUCCGACCGCCCCCUCUUCACCCACCGUGGCAUCCUUCUCGACACCGCCCGCAACUUCUAUCCCGUUCGCGACAUCCUCCACACCAUCCGCGCCAUGGCGUUCAACAAGCUCAACGUCUUCCACUGGCACAUCACCGACGCCCAGUCCUUCCCCAUCGUCCUCCCCACCGUCCCCAGCCUCGCCCACCUCGGCUCCUACUCCCCCUUCAUGCGCUACACCGACAAGGACGUCCGUCGCAUCGUCAACUACGCGGCUGCGUUCGGCGUCCGUGUCAUCCCCGAGAUCGACAUGCCCGGGCACGCGGGUUCGUGGGCGGGAUCGUACCCGGAGAUCGUCACCUGCGCGAACAAAUUCUGGGCGCCCACGGCGAGUCCCGCGCUGGCGGCGGAGCCCUGCACGGGGCAGCUGAACCCGCUGAACCCCAAGGCGUACCGCGUGGCGCAGGACGUUCUGCGCGACCUGUCGGCCCUGUUCCCGGACCCGUACCUCCACGGUGGCGCCGACGAGGUGAACACGGCGUGCUGGGAGGACGACCCCGUGGUGCGGCGCUUCCUCAGCGAGGGCGGCACGCACGACCAACUCCUGGAGCUGUUCGUGAACGCGACACGGCCGUUCAUGGUGCACGAGCUGAACCGCACGGUGGUGUACUGGGAGGACGUGCUCCUGGGGCCCAAGGUGAUGGUGGGGCCGACGGCGCUGCCCAAGGAGACGACGGUGCUGCAGACGUGGAACAACGGGGCCGAGAACACGAAGCGGAUCGUGGCCGCCGGGUACCGCGCCAUCGUCUCCUCGGCGGCCUACUACUACCUGGACUGCGGGCACGGCGGGUGGGUGGGCAACGACAGCCGGUACGACAAGCAGGAGAAGGAGGGCGACGGGGCGCCGCUGUUCAACGACCCCGGGGGCACGGGCGGGUCGUGGUGCGCGCCGUUCAAGACGUGGCAGCGCGUGUACGACUACGACAUCCUGCACGGGCUGACGGAAGAGGAGGCCAACCUGGUGCUGGGCGGCGAGGUGGCGCUGUGGUCGGAGCAGUCGGACGCCGCGGUGCUGGACGGCAGGCUCUGGCCGAGGGCCGCCGCCGCCGCGGAGACGCUCUGGUCCGGGAACAAGGGCGCCAGCGGGAGGAAGCGGUACGCCAACGCCACGGACCGGCUCAACGACUGGAGGCACCGGAUGGUGGCGCGCGGCAUCCGGGCCGAGCCCCUCCAGCCGCUCUGGUGCCCGCUGCACCCGGGCAUGUGCAACCUCUCGCAGUAG